GACAGAGGGUGCGAGCGUUGUCCGGAAUCACUGGGCGUAAAGGGCGCGUAGGUGGCGGGACAAGUGUGUGGUGAAAGCCUGGGGCUCAACCCCAGGUCUGCCGUGCAAACUGUCUUGCUUGAGCGUAGUAGAGGCAGGUGGAAUUCCGGGUGUAGCGGUGGAAUGCGUAGAGAUCCGGAAGAACACCGGUGGCGAAGGCGGCCUGCUGGGCUACUGCUGACACUGAGGCGCGACAGCGUGGGGAGCAAACAGG
rnacentral:rRNA from 1 species